rnacentral:rRNA from 1 species
UGAAGGACGUAGCGAAACACGAAAGGUGUUGCGAAUUGCAAGAUUUCGCGAGUCAAUGACUAUCCGAAUGCAUCGCCGCUCUCCUGCUGCCUUCGGGCGACGGAGGGCGCGUCGGCGACAUCGCCUGUCUCGAUUCUCUCCCACCUCGUGGA